rnacentral:rRNA from 1 species
CACGUAGGGGACGAGCGUUGUCCGGAUUCAUUGGGCGUAAAGGGUGCGUAGGCGGCGGGGCAAGUCUGAUGUGAAAUCCCGGGGCUCAACCCCGGAACUGCAUUGGAUACUGCCUUGCUCGAGUACUGGAGAGGGAACUGGAAUUUACGGUGUAGCAGUGAAAUGCGUAGAGAUCGUAAGGAAGGCCAGUGGCGAAGGCGAGUUCCUGGACAGUUACUGACGCUGAGGCACGAAGGCCAGGGGAGCAAACGGG